UUAUCGGAGAGUUUGAUCCUGGCUCAGGACGAACGCUGGCGGCGUGCCUAAUACAUGCAAGUCGAGCGGACAGAUGGGAGUUUGCUCCCUGAUGUUAGCGGCGGACGGGUGAGUAACACGUGGGUAACCUGCCUGUAAGACUGGGAUAACUCCGGGAAACCGGGGCUAAUACCGGAUGGUUGUUUGAACCGCAUGGUUCAAACAUAAAAGGUGGCUUCGGCUACCACUUACAGAUGGACCCGCGGCGCAUUAGCUAGUUGGUGAGGUAACGGCUCACCAAGGCGACGAUGCGUAGCCGACCUGAGAGGGUGAUCGGCCACACUGGGACUGAGGCACGGCCCAGACUCCUACGGGAGGCAGCAGUAGGGAAUCUUCCGCAAUGGACGAAAGUCUGACGGAGCAACGCCGCGUGAGUGAUGAAGGUUUUCGGAUCGUAAAGCUCUGUUGUUAGGGAAGAACAAGUACCGUUCGAAUAGGGCGGUACCUUGACGGUACCUAACCAGAAAGCCACGGCUAACUACGUGCCAGCAGCCGCGGUAAUACGUAGGUGGCAAGCGUUGUCCGGAAUUAUUGGGCGUAAAGGGCUCGCAGGCGGUUUCUUAAGUCUGAUGUGAAAGCCCCCGGCUCAACCGGGGAGGGUCAUUGGAAACUGGGGAACUUGAGUGCAGAAGAGGAGAGUGGAAUUCCACGUGUAGCGGUGAAAUGCGUAGAGAUGUGGAGGAACACCAGUGGCGAAGGCGACUCUCUGGUCUGUAACUGACGCUGAGGAGCGAAAGCGUGGGGAGCGAACAGGAUUAGAUACCCUGGUAGUCCACGCCGUAAACGAUGAGUGCUAAGUGUUAGGGGGUUUCCGCCCCUUAGUGCUGCAGCUAACGCAUUAAGCACUCCGCCUGGGGAGUACGGUCGCAAGACUGAAACUCAAAGGAAUUGACGGGGGCCCGCACAAGCGGUGGAGCAUGUGGUUUAAUUCGAAGCAACGCGAAGAACCUUACCAGGUCUUGACAUCCUCUGACAAUCCUAGAGAUAGGACGUCCCCUUCGGGGGCAGAGUGACAGGUGGUGCAUGGUUGUCGUCAGCUCGUGUCGUGAGAUGUUGGGUUAAGUCCCGCAACGAGCGCAACCCUUGAUCUUAGUUGCCAGCAUUCAGUUGGGCACUCUAAGGUGACUGCCGGUGACAAACCGGAGGAAGGUGGGGAUGACGUCAAAUCAUCAUGCCCCUUAUGACCUGGGCUACACACGUGCUACAAUGGACAGAACAAAGGGCAGCGAAACCGCGAGGUUAAGCCAAUCCCACAAAUCUGUUCUCAGUUCGGAUCGCAGUCUGCAACUCGACUGCGUGAAGCUGGAAUCGCUAGUAAUCGCGGAUCAGCAUGCCGCGGUGAAUACGUUCCCGGGCCUUGUACACACCGCCCGUCACACCACGAGAGUUUGUAACACCCGAAGUCGGUGAGGUAACCUUUUAGGAGCCAGCCGCCGAAGGUGGGACAGAUGAUUGGGGUGAAGUCGUAACAAGGUAGCCGUAUCGGAAGGUGCGGCUGGAUCACCUCCUUU
rnacentral:rRNA from 1 species